rnacentral:rRNA from 1 species
GUGCACCAGUCGCGAAUUUUCUCAAUGGGCGCAAGCCUGAAGGGCGACGCCGCGUGGGGGAUGAAGGGUUUCGAUCCGUAAACCCCUGUCAUUUGCGAACAAACCCUGAGGUUUAAGAGAUAUCAGGCUGAUUGUAGCGAAAGAGGAAGGGACGGCUAACUCUGUGCCAGCAGCCGCGGUAAUACAGAGGUCCCAAGCGUUGUUCGGAUUCACUGGGCGUAAAGGGUGCGUAGGUGGCUUGGUAAGUUCGAUGUGAAAUCUCCGGGCUUAACCCGGAAAUGGCAUUGAAUACUAUUGAGCUGGAGGUUUGGAGGGGGACUGGAAUUCUCGGUGUAGCAGUGAAAUGCGUAGAUAUCGAGAGGAACACCAGUGGCGAAGGCGAGUCCCUGGACAACACCUGACACUGAGGCACGAAAGCUAGGGGAGCAAACAGGAUUAGAUACCCCUGUAGU